GGGGAAGGUGUCAGAUUACUGGGCGUAAGGGCGUGUAGGCGGCACGGCAAGUUGGGUGUGAAAGUCCCCGGCUCAACUGGGGAAGGCCACUCAAUACUGUCGAGCUUGAGGCCGGUAGGGGGAGACGGAAUUCCCGGUGUAGUGGUGAAAUGCGUAGAUAUCGGGAGGAACACCGAUGGCGAAAGCGGUCUCCUGGGCCGGUCCUGACGCUGAGGCGCGAAAGCGCGGGGAGCGAACCGGAUUAGAUACCCGGGUAGUCCGCGCCUUAAACGAUGGAUACUUGGUCUGGGGGGUAUCGACCCCUCCCGGGCCGAAGCUAACGCAUUAAGUAUCCCGCCUGGGGAGUACGGCCGCAAGGUUGAAACUCAAAGGAAUUGACGGGGGCCCGCACAAGCAGCGGAGCGUGUGGUUUAAUUCGACGCAACGCGAAGAACCUUACCAGGGCUUGACAUGGCAGAAGUAGGAACCUGAAAGGGCGACGACCCGUUAAGUCGGGAACUGUCACAGAUGCUGCACGGCUGUCGUCAGCUCGUGCCGUGAGGUGUUGGGUUAAGUCCCGCAACGAGCGCAACCCCCACCGCUAGUUGAACAUUCUAGCGGAACUGCCGGGCGAAACCCGGAGGAAGGCGGGGAUGACGUCAAGUCAUCGUGGCUCUUACGCCCUGGGCCACACACACGCUACAAUGGACGGUACAGAGGGCUGCCAAGCCGCAAGGCGGAGCGAAUCCCAAAAAGCCGUCCCCAGUUCAGAUCGCAGGCUGCAACUCGCCUGCGUGAAGUCGGAGUUGCUAGUAACCGCCGGUCAGCACACGGCGGUGAAUGCGUUCCCGGGCCUUGUACACACCGCCCGUCACGUCAUGAAAGCUGGCAAUGCCUGAAGCCGGUGGGCUAACCUUCGGGAGGCAGCCGUCGAAGGCAGGGCUGGUGAUUGGGACGAAGUCGUAACAAGGUAACCAGACCC
rnacentral:rRNA from 1 species